AUCACUUCUUGGCCUUUUGGCUAAGAUCAAGUGUAAAUUGUUCCAACAACAACAAAAAAAUGAAACAAAUGAUUGUUAAACAAUGUCAGGUUUUGUUACUUUAUUUUUUUUUCGAGGGGCGUGCACUCUAGAGGUGGCCAAGAGAUGCCAGGGGUCAGAGCUGGGCGGAUCUCCAGCCCUGUGGGCCAUCUUCU